rnacentral:rRNA from 1 species
GACGAACCGUGCAAACGUUGUUCGGAAUCACUGGGCUUAAAGGGCGCGUAGGCGGCUUCCCAAGUCCGGGGUGAAAUCUUUCGGCUUAACCGGAAAAGUGCCUUGGAUACUGGGAGGCUCGAGGGGGGUAGGGGCAAGCGGAACUUCCGGUGGAGCGGUGAAAUGCGUUGAUAUCGGAAGGAACGCCGGCGGUGAAAGCGGCUUGCUGGACCCCAUCUGACGCUGAUGCGCGAAAGCCAGGGGAGCGAACGGG